GACAGAGGGUGCAAACGUUGUUCGGAAUUACUGGGCGUAAAGCGCGUGUAGGCGGCUAAGUAAGUCGGGCGUGAAAUCCCACGGCUCAACCGUGGAAGUGCACUCGAAACUGCAUAGCUAGAGUCCUGGAGAGGAAGGUGGAAUGCUUGGUGUAGAGGUGAAAUUCGUAGAUAUCAAGCGGAACACCUGCGGCGAAGGCGGCCUUCUGGACGAUGACUGACGCUGAGACGCGAAAGCGUGGGGAGCAAACAGG
rnacentral:rRNA from 1 species